rnacentral:rRNA from 1 species
UGGGGAAUAUUGCACAAUGGGGGAAACCCUGAUGCAGCGACGCCGCGUGAACGAAGAAGGUAUUCGUAUCGUAAAGUUCUGUCCUAUGGGAAGAUAAUGACAGUACCAUAGAAGAAAGCUCCGGCUAAAUACGUGCCAGCAGCCGCGGUAAUACGUAUGGAGCGAGCGUUGUCCGGAAUUAUUGGGCGUAAAGGGUACGCAGGCGGUUUAAUAAGUCGAAUGUUAAAGAUCGGGGCUCAACCCCGCAAAGCAUUGGAAGCUGAUAAACUUGAGUAGUGUAGAGGAAAGUGGAAUUCCUAGUGUAGUGGUGAAAUACGUAGAUAUUAGGAGGAAUACCAGUAGCGAAGGCGACUUUCUGGACACAAACUGACGCUGAGGUACGAAAGCGUGGGGAGCAAACAGG